UACGUAGGGUGCAAGCGUUAAUCGGAAUUACUGGGCGUAAAGCGCGCGUAGGUGGUUUGUUAAGUUGGAUGUGAAAUCCCCGGGCUCAACCUGGGAACUGCAUUUGUGACUGCAUCGCUGGAGUGCGGCAGAGGGGGAUGGAAUUCCGCGUGUAGCAGUGAAAUGCGUAGAUAUGCGGAGGAACACCGAUGGCGAAGGCAAUCCCCUGGGCCUGCACUGACGCUCAUGCACGAAAGCGUGGGGAGCAAACAGG
rnacentral:rRNA from 1 species